UGCUUAUCAUUAGUUAUUUUCAAUCAAGCUGUCUCCUUUCGAGACACCACAAUCCCUUUACCUAUGUCAUUAUGGUCACAGUGUUGAACCAAACGUAACUACAGGUACAGCCCCGCUGUGUUCCGUCCUGAAGACGUUCACGUGGCGGAAGGUUUCCCCAAACCAGCCUCGGACCCAACCAGAACCGCCCUCGCCUUCUUCAUCUCCUACUCCGACACGGGAGACUUCAGGCCGGUACCUUUGGACACCGUAGAGACAGUUUUCCAACUGUCCCAGCCGCAGCUUGAAGCAGCCCUGGGCGGCAGGUCGUUCAGCUUCCUGGGCUCGCUUAGUGAGUACCAGAACGGCGACCAGGCCGAUCCAGACGACACGGUUAUCUACGUCAUCGUCGGCGUGUCGGUCUCCCUUGGCGUCGGUGUUAUCAUCGCCGUCACAGGGUAUCUGUGGGCCAGGAGGAAGAAACGCAAGGUCGAUGCUAACCAACAUCAUGCAGAGCCAUUGGCCGUUACCAUGGAAACGACUUCCAAGGACGUGUCAGGCGCUGACAACCCUGUCAUGGACACCAAGUUUUGAGCAUUCUUGCUUAAGCGUUGACGCCUUAUUAGGUGCUGGAAAUCAAAAUUGUCUUCUGAGAGUUCAAUACAUAAUUGCCAUUUUCCUGAGUGCUGAAAUGCUACAGACGGAAACUGUGAUUCUGCAUGUAUACAGUAGAUGCCAUUAAAAAGCUAUAUGCACAAUU